UGAGCAAUCUGCCCUUCUCUUCGGAAUAAGCGUUGGAAACGACGUCUAAUGCCGAAUACGACCUCCUUUCGCAUGAUCGGAGGUGGAAAGCUCCGGCGGAGAAGGAUGAGCUCGCGGCCUAUCAGCUAGUUGGUGUGGGUAAUGGCCCAUCAAGGCGACGACGGGUAGCCGGCCUGAGGAGGGCGAUCGGCCACACGUGGGACUGAGACACCGGCCCAGACUCCGUAGGGAGG
rnacentral:rRNA from 1 species